rnacentral:rRNA from 1 species
GGGUCCACCUCCCACCCGUGUCUAUUGUACCAUGUUGCUUCGGCAGGCCCGCCUUAUGGCCGCCGGGGGCUAACCGCCCCGGGCCCGCGCCUGCCGAAGACCCCUCUGAACGCUGUCUGAAGAUUGCCGUCUGAGCGAAACAUAUAAAUUAUUUAAAACUUUCAACAACGGAUCUCUUGGUUCCGGCAUCGAUGAAGAACGCAGCGAAAUGCGAUAACUAAUGUGAAUUGCAGAAUUCAGUGAAUCAUCGAGUCUUUGAACGCACAUUGCGCCCUCUGGUAUUCCGGAGGGCAUGCCUGUCCGAGCGUCAUUGCUGCCCUCAAGCCCGGCUUGUGUGUUGGGUCUCGUCCCCCCCGGGGGACGGGCCCGAAAGGCAGCGGCGGCACCGUGUCCGGUCCUCGAGCGUAUGGGGCUUUGUCACCCGCUCUGUAGGCCCGGCCGGCGCCUGUCGACCCCCAAUCUAUUUUUUUCAGGUUGACCUCGGAUCAGGUAGGGAUACCCGCUGAACUUAAGCAUAUCAAUAGGCGGAGGAAAUUACUGAGUGAGGGCCUUCGGGUCCAACCUCCCACCGUGUCUAUUGUACCAUGUUGCUUCGGCAGGCCNCUUAUGGCNCNGGGGGGGCUAACGNCGGCGCGCCUGCGAANACCCUCUGAANGCUGUCUGAANAUUGCGUCNGAGCNAAACAUAUAAAUUAUUUUAAAACUUUCAAC